CCUACGGGAGGCAGCAGUGGGGGAUAUUGCACAAUGGGGGAAACCCUGAUGCAGCGACGCCGCGUGUGGGAAGACGGUCCUCUGGAUUGUAAACCACUGUCCCCAGGGACGAAGAUGACGGUACCUGGGGAGGAAGCUCCGGCUAACUACGUGCCAGAAGCCGCGGGAAUACGUAGGGAGAGAGCGUUGUCCGGAAUUACUGGGGGUAAAGGGAGCGUAGGCGGGGAUGCAAGUUGGGUGUAAAAACUACCGGCUCAACUGGUAGUCGCACUCAAAACUGAAGCUCUUGAGUGAAGUAGAGGCAGGCGGAAUUCCUAGUGUAGCGGUGAAAUGCGUAGAUAUUAGGAGGAACACCAGUGGCGAAGGCGGCCUGCUGGGCUUUUACUGACGCUGAGGCUCGAAAGUGUGGGGAGCAAACAGGAUUAGAUACCCGGGUAGUC
rnacentral:rRNA from 1 species